AAAAUGUAGACAACUAGAAAGAUCUACCUGCUCAAGUUCAGUAAUGUUAUUAUAAGAUACAAAAUCAGGAUAUUGUAAUUUAUAGAAUAAUAAUUGUGUGUUACUAAUAGGAAUUCCUAAUACCGACAUUGAAAAUAGUGUUUUUUCAAUACCAGAAAUUGGUAUUAAAGAAGAACUUAUACAUAUAUCAUUGUUACAUCCCAACCAUUUGUUAACCCAUAAAUCUGUAUGAUUUUUAGCGAACGCAAACUCCUCAGG